UAGGGAAUAUUGGACAAUGGGCGCAAGCCUGAUCCAGCCAUCCCGCGUGAAGGAUUAAGGUCCUAUGGAUUGUAAACUUCUUUUCUCUGGGAAUAAAAACCGGUAUUUAUACUGGCUUGAAGGUACCAGAGGAAUAAGCACCGGCUAACUCCGUGCCAGCAGCCGCGGUAAUACGGAGGGUGCAAGCGUUAUCCGGAUUCACUGGGUUUAAAGGGUGCGUAGGUGGCUUUGUAAGUCAGUGGUGAAAGCCCGGAGCUUAACUCCGGAACUGCCAUUGAUACUGCUUAGCUUGAAUCAACUUGAGGUAGAUGGAAUAUUACAUGUAGCGGUGAAAUGCUUAGAUAUGUAAUAGAACACCGAUUGCGAAGGCAGUUCACUAAGGUUGUAUUGACACUGAGGCACGAAAGCGUGGGGAUCAAACA
rnacentral:rRNA from 1 species